UGUAGCUCAUUUUCCACGUGUUCUAGGCAUGAGAAACGUGUGCAAAUACAUGGCAAUUGACCCACGAAUUGUGCCUGAUGAUUAGGCUUGUAUGAUGCAAUGUGGAAAGGGUUGAAUCCUCCUAAAAAUUCACCCUUUCCCCUCUUUUGUAAUCACUUUGAGAUAUAUGUAAUGACAUGUUGUUGAGAUCACUCUAGCCCUCAUUUUUCUUUUAGUCAUCAGCCAGAGAGAGACCUCAACUUCCUCUAGCCACCCUUCCUUAGUUAGGAACUCAAGCUUCCACCGAAACACCUCACCACAUCCAUAAACACGAAACUCAAGCCUUAAUUCUUCACUCUAAUGUGACUUUUGCUACAUCCUUCCAUCCUUCUAUUUUUUAGAGUGAUCUAGAGCUUUAAUCCA
rnacentral:lncRNA from 1 species